UAGGGAAUCUUCGGCAAUGGACGAAAGUCUGACCGAGCAACGCCGCGAGAGUGAAGAAGGUUUUCGGAUCGUAAAACUCUGUUGUUAGAGAAGAACAAGGACGUUAGUAACUGAACGUCCCCUGACGGUAUCUAACCAGAAAGCCACGGCUAACUACGUGCCAGCAGCCGCGGUAAUACGUAGGUGGCAAGCGUUGUCCGGAUUUAUUGGGCGUAAAGCGAGCGCAGGCGGUUUCUUAAGUCUGAUGUGAAAGCCCCCGGCUCAACCGGGGAGGGUCAUUGGAAACUGGUAGACUUGAGUGCAGAAGAGGAGAGUGGAAUUCCAUGUGUAGCGGUGAAAUGCGUAGAUAUAUGGAGGAACACCAGUGGCGAAGGCGGCUCUCUGGUCUGUAACUGACGCUGAGGCUCGAAAGCGUGGGGAGCAAACAGG
rnacentral:rRNA from 1 species